AUAACCCCGGGAAACUGGGUAUAAUACCCGAUAGUUCUGGGAAGCUGGAAUGCUUCCAGGACGAAAGCUCCGGCGCCCAAGGAUGGGUCUGCGGCCUAUCAGGUAGUAGUGGGUGUAAUGUACCUACUAGCCUACGACGGGUACGGGUUGUGAGAGCAAGAGCCCGGAGAUGGAUUCUGAGACACGAAUCCAGGCCCUACGGGGUGCAGCAGGCGCGAAAACUUUACAAUGCUGGCAACAGCGAUAAGGGGACCUCGAGUGCCAGGAUACAAUCUUGGCUGUCGUAAUGCCUAAAAAGCAUUUCAUAGCAAGGGCCGGGCAAGACCGGUGCCAGCCGCCGCGGUAACACCGGCGGCUCGAGUGGUAACCGCUAUUAUUGGGUCUAAAGGGUCUGUAGCCGGCCGGAUAAGUCUUUUGGGAAAUCCAGCUGCUCAACAGUUGGGCUUUCAGAAGAUACUGUUCGGCUCGAGACCGGGAGAGGUGAGAGGUACUUCAGGGGUAGGGGUGAAAUCUUGUAAUCCUUGAAGGACCACCAGUGGCGAAGGCGUCUCACCAGAACG
rnacentral:rRNA from 1 species